AGGUAUUAGUCAUAAUAUAAUACGUUUUUUUUUUUCUGUAAAAAACUUUUCUAUCAGCAAUUAUUGCCCAGACUUAUAAUGAUAGCAAUUUUUCUAAAAAAAAUUUCACCGGGGAGGUUCUUUAGAGAGGUAAUUUUUCAAUUUUCUUAGUUUUCCCAGCAAAUGUGAAAAACCGGAAAAUUAGGAAAACCGGGAAAAUCGGUACAACGUUAAACAAAUAUUAUUAAAGAAAGUAUAUAAAGCCUAUUUAAUUAUUUUACUAUUAUGUCGCAUAUAUAUUGUUGACAAAGCAUCACUAUCAACUGAACUCCGCUCAAAAACGUUUUAUCGUCAGUAAUUUUCAUACACUAAAUUACCUAUAACAGUUGCUGCACCCAUCUCCAUUAUCCUAGGACGUUUUUUUAAUCAUUCUAUCUUUUUUAACCUAAAGAACAAGGUUUUCC